AUAACCUAGGUGUCUUCAAGGCCCGAGUGAUUUAGGUUGCUUAUGGACAGACGUGCUCCAUCGUAGGCCGCAUCAUCACUUACCAUCAGGCGAGAUAGCGGCCAAACGUCGGCCCAUUUAACAUAAAAAAAAAACUUGACCAUGUGAUGAUUCUAUAGCAGAUGUGGGCACUAUGUUUGAAACAACCGUUAUUUUAUAUUCUUCACAAAUUGAUUUUAUUGUCCCUUUAGUUUUGACGCCGUAUUGUCGUUACAUUGUUCCUACAUAUAUAUACAAUAGGUAAAUGAUCAAAUAAUGUAUCAGAGAUAUUGUAAAAAACAUUUUUUGAAAAGAGUAACGAUGGAGUUUCUUGCUCGUUCUUCUCCAUUCGAAGCAACACUUUGGAACGAGCGCCUAGCUUCACUGACAGACAGACUGACGGACAAUUCAAUUUGACGUUUCAAAAGUGCCUAAUUUAGGAUUAAUUGAAAUAAAUGCUUUGACUUUGACUUUGAAAA